rnacentral:lncRNA from 1 species
CUCUUUCAUUCUAAAUGAUUUUCAGUGUUUGGUUUGCUUACAAGAUCAUAUCUAAGCUCAUCAGGUAACGAAUGGCCAGUUAAGAAAGAACAUCCACAAGGCCAAACUCCUUGAUGUAGAAAGCAGUGCCAUUUAAGGUAAUUGUUCCUGAUAUUUUAGCUUCUAACCAAAAAGUCAGACUCGCUUUUUCUGAAAGGUUAA